rnacentral:rRNA from 1 species
GACGUAGGUGGCGAACGUUAUCCGGAAUUAUUGGGCGUAAAGGGUGCGCAGAUGGUCUGACAAGUUAGCAGUGGCAAAUCGAGGCUCAACCUCGUGGAAACUGGUAAUACUGUCUGACUCGAGUACAGGAGAGGUUAACGGAACUCCAUGUGGAGCGGUAAAAUGUGUAGAUAUAUGGAAGAACAUCAAUAACGGCGAAGGCAGUUAACUAUUCUGUUACUGACAUUGAGGCACGAAAGCGUGGGGAGCAAAACGG